rnacentral:rRNA from 1 species
GACGAACGCUGGCGGCGUGCUUAACACAUGCAAGUCGAACGGUAAGGCCCUUUCGGGGGUACACGAGUGGCGAACGGGUGAGUAACACGUGGGUGAUCUGCCCUGCACUUUGGGAUAAGCCUGGGAAACUGGGUCUAAUACCGGAUAGGACUACGCGAUGCAUGUCGUGUGGUGGAAAGCUUUUGCGGUGUGGGAUGGGCCCGCGGCCUAUCAGCUUGUUGGUGGGGUGAUGGCCUACCAAGGCGACGACGGGUAGCCGGCCUGAGAGGGUGUCCGGCCACACUGGGACUGAGAUACGGCCCAGACUCCUACGGGAGGCAGCAGUGGGGAAUAUUGCACAAUGGGCGCAAGCCUGAUGCAGCGACGCCGCGUGGGGGAUGACGGCCUUCGGGUUGUAAGCCCCUUUCAGCACAGACGAAGCGUAAGUGACGGUAUGUGCAGAAGAAGCACCGGCCAACUACGUG